rnacentral:lncRNA from 1 species
CGAGGAAUCCUUACCAGGGCUUGUUGUGACGAUUCCCGAGGGUGAGAGCUCGCUGCUGACGCUGGCCUCAGCAGUGUAGGAGGAAUCCAUGGUGGAGACAGAUGACCCCACGGCCUCGGCCAGCCUGUCGUCCCGUGCGGCAGCGAUUACUGCCCCACUGCCAGGCGUCUGCUGCGCAAGCCUGCUUAGUCGUGGCGGC